rnacentral:lncRNA from 1 species
UUUAGAACCUACAAGCUCAGUGUCUUCUGUGUAGCAGUGGUCAGAGUCGAGUCCUUCAGAGGAAAGUACAGACAGUUCUGGGACCACCUGCCCCCACAGGAAGCCUGUCCCUAUUUCCCAUCAUUUCUCAUUGGCCUUCAAACUGAAGCGUAAGACUGUAUCCCUUGAAAAUGUCUAUUCUGGCAAACAAUCACAGAAAGUGUUUUCAUCAUUCCUGCAUUCUUUUAACAGUCCUGCUAAGGUUUAAGCCUUGAGAAUAGCACGUGGCCUACAGGCUGGUGUCUGGCGGUACACCUUCCUUCCCUUAGCACUGCACUUACAGUUUCCCUGUCCCUGGUGUAUUUUCCUCAUGACGUGUUCUUUCACUCCAUCUUCAGUCUUACCUGGAUGUGUGAAGGUCAAUCCAGGAAUGCUGUUCAUUCACUUUUGGGAAGAGCUCUCCAAGGUUUCUGUAUGGUUCACCCCAAACUGGUGAAUUCACAACCUGGCUGUAGCAAACACAUCUUCCAAGUCCUUCCUGCAGGCUUUUUGGUUGGUUAGCAGCCCUCAGUUUUUGAGGUAUGCCUUCAUUUUGGCUUCAGCAUCCAAUUCUCUUCUCACUAAGGCUCAUGUGACACAGACGCAACUCAGGUGAAGUUACUGCAGCUUUUCAGUGCUGUCCAUACAAGCAGUCAGGCUCCUGGCCGCAUAUCUCUGUAUGCACCAUAAAUCUUAUCCUAGCAAUUGAAGUAUCUCUGCUUCCUUGACAUGUAGGCUCCUUCCUCUUUAGUACAGGGGUUAGUUCAGACACAUGCUUUUGUGCUGUCUCUCUUGACCUUUCCCAUCUGCUUUAAUUGCAGCCCCCAGAAGUAUUUCCCUAGAAGGCUGAAUGCAGAAAAAAGGCAAGCAUGUGUCAGGUCCAUUCAAGGUUGACCACCAGAGCACCCUCAGCAGACAGAUUGCUUCAAAAUCUUCAGCCUCACCACCAGGAACAGGAGGCAGAGUCCCACCACAACCCCACAAACUGCUCCAGCAAUCAUGCCAAUAUUUUGGGCAUCUGUUGUCCGGACAAUAAACAGAUGAACA